UGCCUCCGACUUGAACCCCAAAGAUACAGCAAUUUUAUAUUAUACUAUAUUAAAUAUAUUGUGACGCCCUGCCCCUCUCUCUGCCUAUUGGUUGUGGGUGGAGAUUGGGAAAGGGCGUCAGGCCAAUUCGCCACACCUGUGGGGGUAUAGGGAUCCAGAGAUUUAAGGGCUGGAUCCCUUAAAUCCAGCCCGGUGGGCUAAAGUGCAUAAAUACCCCCCAUCAGUAGCGGCACGAAGACUAGGGAUGGAGUUAAGGUAGUUAUGGGGUCGCUAAUGUCUUAGUUAGUCAGGGCUGGGGAGGUUCCAUUUUGGUUUGGCUGUCCCAGACUUUGUUAGUGGUUCCAGCUGAUAUUGUUUUUGUUUUUUUCUUUCUCCUAUUCUAUUUUGUGAGUGUAGGUAGUCCAGGUAUGGCGUCUACAGUGGAUAAAUUUGUUGACUCACCGUCAGUAGCACUACUGGAUCAGUGUACUAAAGACCAGUUACUGCUAAUUGCUGAGAAAUAUGAGAUUGAGAUAUUGGAUAAAAAGUUAAAGGAGUCUGUUAAGGGAAGUUUGAUGGCAGGGAUGCUGGAACAGAGAAUGAUCCCGGACGAGCCCCCAUUUUGUCACACACCGGGUCAGGUAGUGGCAAAAUAAAGGGAGUCCACACAUGAAAUAAAGAGAAACUAGUUUAUUAGUAACCCGUUUUUACUGGUUAAAGUAAACAUAAGCAAUUAUACUUAAACAAAAGAGAUUAUACUUAAGACCACAUGGCGGGUGGAAGACGGAGCCCAAAGCUCAGCCUAGAAGCAGCAAAGAGACUCAACACAUGGCUACCCAGCCCUUAAAUCUCUGGAUCCCUAUACCCCCACAGGUGUGGCCAAUUGGCAUGACGCCCUUUCCCAAUCUCCACCCACAACCAAUAGGCAGAGAGAGGGGCAGGGCGUCACAAUAUUUAUUAAAGUAUGCUUCAAAUUGGCUUCCAACAUCUCUUCUCGGAGCUCCCAAACAGUGAGCUACUCUACUACUAAUGGAGUACUGCUCACGGAGGAGGGCUCAUUGUGUACAGACAGGGAUUGUUUACAGGCAUUCUGUCAGCUAUUUGCGGCUCAAGUUUGCUUCCUUCAGACAGAGCUCUGCAACGUAUUAAAGGCAGGACCUAUCCAACUCCGGCGGAACCUACUACAAGCUCUCCGCUGUUGCCAAAUGAGGAGUAGAGGAGGAAGUCAUCCAGUGAAUUACACCCUGAAGAAACUGCAGUUGGCUCUCAAUACCAUCCCUAUUGAGUCACGUGUAAACAAAGUGGUGGAAAUCAAUAGUCUCCAACGAGGAGCUGUGAGAACCGACUGACCUGCAGAGGAGGUUCAGGGUUAAGGUCAGCCAGAGAUCUCCUCCAGGGAGCUAGUUAACUCUCUUUUAGUCACAGCCAGCAACUCUCUUCUUAUUUACCACCUGGUGCAAGCGUUGGGCUUCUUGGGACUACGACCAACUGUCUAACUGGCAUUAAAAACGUGAGGGUGAAUCGCUAAGCUGGUUGGUUCAUUCUGGAUCAUCAAUAAGGAAGUCAUAAAGAUGAGCCAGCGAUGUAUUGGUUUUCUAAACAGGUAGGAUGACGACAGUUCCAUGAAACACCUGAAGAAAUAACAGAACCAUCACAGACUGCUUACACCUGAGGUAGUUGAGUGGGGCUACGAAAUGGGCUGCUAUGAUAUUAUAAUCACAUAUUACCUACAGCAUUAGAUGCUAUUCGAUAACCUGUCAAUGUCUGUGUAGGUUCCCAAAUAGAUUGGGAGUAAAUGUAUUCUAAUUCAUUUAAAAUUUAAUCAAAAUAAAUCAACAAUGUGUAAUGUUACACAUUCUGUUCCAACAUAUUCUAAAGAUUUUAAUAUUUUUGAACUUUCAAGAUGUUUUAAUUUAUUGAAUAACCUACUGCCGCUCCUCGAACACUCCUGUUUGUUAAAAGCCAAAUGUACUUAAUAAACGUGUUCUCUUAUCCACUGUUGGUGUGAUC